AUCCCGCUGAACACAGAAAACGUGCCAUAAUAUUGGUAACGCUGGUCAGGUGUCAAGUGUCAAGAGUUUGUUUUGGUUUUACGUUAGUACGCGUUUGUGUCAAGUUCCAGGUUGCAUUGAUACUGCAGUUUGAAUAGUCAGGAUGUUGUCGAGUAUGGUAAAAGAGCAACAGACAAGACAGCAGAAUCGGAAGGAAGAACAAGAAAGGCGAAGAAAGGAGGCUGUCCAGGCUAGCAGCAAUCUAACCCAGGCUCUGGUUGAUCAUCUUAAUGUUGG